UGCUGGGCCCAGAGGAAAUUGUGACAUACCUCAAGCCUCGCGUGGAGGCUGGUACUCACAGACAUAGUGCGACACACUAUGACAAAGCAAAGUCAUGCCCAUGCCUCUUUUGGGGCUUUUUGAGGGGAGCGUGGGGAGCAAGAAACCGGGUGCUGCCCCACAGUUUGCAAGCCCUGGUGUGUGCUUCGUGCCUGGGGUGCAGCUGGCAUGGCAGAUACACAUUCUGCCUGUUCCAUCCUCUUGCUUUCUCCUCCCCGAGACCCGGGUCAUGCCCCAGCGAAGCAUCAUGGGCCGGAAACCAGCCUUUACUUCCCCUUUCCUUCGCUGCAGCCUCAUCCUGAGGAGAACAGCACUGUGUGCAGACGUGCCUCGGGCAUGGCGAAAAGGAGCUGGGAGGCCAGGGGUGCUGGUACCCUGAUCUUGCUGAGUUGGCUUGCAGGUGCCAGCGUGAUAGAGCCGGAGACCUGCAGCUCCCCAGGUGACUUUCCCCCGCCAGUGUUCUUCUCAAACAGCUCUGCAGCUCAGGAAGGCGACUUGAUUUUUGCACGGUGCCUCGUUUUUUCCCACUUCCCCGUUGCCCGCAUCUUCUUCUGCAAGAAUGGGGUGGAGCUGGCAAACCACCCGGUCAGGAAAGAGCAGUUCACCUCCACACUCACCUUCCGGCUCUCCCCAGAGAGCAGCGGCACCUACUCUUGUGGGUACCUGCGCCUGAGCAGCCUUGGUCAAGUCAAGCUUUCAAGGCUGAGUGUCCCGUGGCUCCUGAGUGCCAGAGGCAGGAAGGACGCCCCAAGGAAUGACAGCAUUGCCCCGAGCCCAGAGCUGGCAGCUGAAGGGCUGGGAGUCUCAGGCAGCCUGGCCUUUGUGGUUCUCGCCGUCCUGACUCUGGCUUUAGCUGUCCACCUCCUGCUGCAGAUAGGUAAGAGCAGCCUAAGUCGGCGUGGCUGGCUGUGGCACGGUGCAUGGUGCCAUGCUGUGGUUACCGAGCCUGCACUCACAUGCAUUCACGGUAAAAUCGAGCAGCUCAAGGCAGCCUCCGAGAUUAGGAGGCAUAACCUGGGCUGUCAGUCCUUCAGCUUGUUUUGA
rnacentral:lncRNA from 1 species